rnacentral:rRNA from 1 species
AUUGAACGCUGGCGGCAGGCUUAACACAUGCAAGUCGAACGAGUGGCGGACGGGUGAGUAAUGCUUGGGCAUCUAGCUUAUGUAGGGGGAUAACUACGGGAAACUGUAGCUAAUACCGCAUACCAUGGGAUGUGGCCAGGUGGGAUUAGCGAUUUGGUGGGGUAACGGCUAACCUAGGGGACGAUCCCUAGCUGGUCUGAGAGGAUGACCAGCCACACUGGAACUGAGACACGGUCCAGACUCCUACGGGAUGCAGCAGUGGGGAAUAGUGCGCAAUGGGGGCAACCCUGACGCAGCCAUGCCGCGUGAAUGAAGAAGGCUUUAGGGUUGUAAAGUACUGUCAGCGGAGAGGCGUUACCCGCAGAAGAAGCACCGGCUAACUCCGUGCCAGCAGCCGCGGUAAUUC